rnacentral:rRNA from 1 species
CGGUGGAUCACUUGGCCUGUGGAUGCUAUGAAGACCAUAGCUAAGUGUGAGAAUGCCAGCGAGCCGUCGCUAUAUGCGCUGAACAAUUACUCUCAUAUGUCGAAUGCACAUUGCGCCCUGUCCCAGUGGUGACCGUUACACGG